rnacentral:rRNA from 1 species
GAUGAACGCUGGCGGCGUGCCUAAUACAUGCAAGUCGAGCGAACGGACGAGAAGCUUGCUUCUCUGAUGUUAGCGGCGGACGGGUGAGUAACACGUGGAUAACCUACCUAUAAGACUGGGAUAACUUCGGGAAACCGUAGCUAAUACCGGAUAAUAUUUUGAACCGCAUGGUUCAAAAGUGAAAGACGGUCUUGCUGUCACUUAUAGAUGGAUCCGCGCUGCAUUAGCUAGUUGGUAAGGUAACGGCUUACCAAGGCAACGAUGCAUAGCCGACCUGAGAGGGUGAUCGGACACACUGGAACUGAGACACGGUCCAGACUCCUACGGGAGGCAGCAGUAGGGAAUCUUCCGCGAUGGGCGAAAGCCUGACGGAGCAACGCCGCGGGAGUGAUGAAGGUCUUCGGAUCGUAAAACUAUGUAAUUAGGGAAGAAGAUAUGUGUAAGUAACUGUGCACAUCUUGACGGUACCGAAUCAGAAAGCCACGGCUAACUACGUG